rnacentral:rRNA from 1 species
UACAGGGGGUGCAAACGUUGCUCGGAAUUAUUGGGCGUAAAGCGCGCGUAGGCGGCUACUUAAGUCGGAUGUGAAAGCCCCUGGCUCAACUGGGGAAGUACACCCGAAACUGAGUAGCUUGAGUGCAAAAGAGGGCCGCGGAAUUCCCGGUGUAGAGGUGAAAUUCGUAGAUAUCGGGAGGAACACCGGUGGCGAAGGCGGCGGCCUGGGUUGACACUGACGCUGAGGCGCGAAAGCGUGGGGAGCAAACAGG